rnacentral:rRNA from 1 species
UGAUCUCAAAUCAGGUAGGACUACCCGCUGAACUUAAGCAUAUC